rnacentral:rRNA from 1 species
CCUACGGGAGGCAGCAGUGGGGAAUCUUGCGCAAUGGGCGAAAGCCUGACGCAGCCAUGCCGCGUGUAUGAUGAAGGUCUUAGGAUUGUAAAAUACUUUCACCGGUGAAGAUAAUGACUGUAGCCGGAGAAGAAGCCCCGGCUAACUUCGUGCCAGCAGCCGCGGUAAUACGAAGGGGGCUAGCGUUGCUCGGAAUUACUGGGCGUAAAGGGAGCGUAGGCGGACAUUUAAGUCAGAGGUGAAAUCCCGGAGCUUAACUUCGGAACUGCCUUUGAUACUGGGUGUCUUGAGUGUGAGAGAGGUAUGUGGAACUCCGAGUGUAGAGGUGAAAUUCGUAGAUAUUCGGAAGAACACCAGUGGCGAAGGCGACAUACUGGCUCAUUACUGACGCUGAGGCUCGAAAGCGUGGGGAGCAAACAGGAUUAGAUACCCUGGUAGUCCACGCCGUAAACGGUGAUUGCUAGUUGUCGGGAAGCUUGCUUCUCGGUGACGCNGCUACGCAUAGUACACUCCGCCGCGGAGUACGGUCGCGAGAUAACUACGAAGAAGUAGACGCGNGAGACGUGCGAGACGACGACGAGGGAGAG